rnacentral:rRNA from 1 species
AUUGAACGCUGGCGGCAGGCCUAACACAUGCAAGUCGAACGAGUGGCGGACGGGUGAGUAAUGUCUGUGAAACUGCCCGAUGUAGGGGGAUAACUACUGGAAACGGUAGCUAAUACCGCAUACCAUCGGCUUUGCCCAGAUGGGAUUAGCUAGUAGGUGGGGUAACGGCUCACCUAGGCGACGAUACCGAGCUGGUCUGAGAGGAUGACCAGCCACAUGGGAACGGAGACACGGUCCAGACUCCUACGGGAGGCAGCAGUGGGGAAUAUUGCACAAUGGGCGCAAGCUGGAUGCAGCAAUGCCGCGUGUAUGAAGAAGGCCUUCGGGUUGUAAAGUACUUUCAGCGAGGAGGCGUUACUCGCAGAAGAAGCACCGGCUAACUCCGUGCCAGCAGCCGCGGUAAUUC